rnacentral:rRNA from 1 species
UAGGGAAUUUUCGGCAAUGGGCGAAAGCCUGACCGAGCAACGCCGCGUGAAGGAAGAAGGCCUUCGGGUUGUAAACUUCUGUUAUAAAGGAAGAACGUCUAUGACAGGGAAUGGUGAUAGAGUGACGGUACUUUAUGAGGAAGCCACGGCUAACUACGUGCCAGCAGCCGCGGUAAUACGUAGGUGGCGAGCGUUAUCCGGAAUUAUUGGGCGUAAAGAGGGAGCAGGCGGCAGGAAGGGUCUGUGGUGAAAGAGUGAAGCUUAACUUCAUAAAGCCAUGGAAACCGGCCAGCUAGAGUGAUG